rnacentral:tRNA from 14 species
GCGAUAAUGGUAUAGUGGUGCGCAUAGCUACCUUCUAAGCAGUUGACCCGCGUUCGAUUCCCGGCCAUCGCA